UACGGAGGAUGCAAGCGUUAUCCGGCCUGAUUGGGCGUAAAACGUCCGCCGGUGGUUGUGUGUGUCUAUUGUCAAAGCAUCAUGCUUAACAUGAUAAAGGCAGUAGAAACUACACGACUAGAGUGCGUUCGGGGCAGAGGGAAUUCCUGGUGUAGCGGUGAAAUGCGUAGAGAUCAGGAAGAACACCGGUGGCGAAAGCGAUCUGCUAGGCCGCAACUGACACUGAGGGACGAAAGCUAGGGGAGCGAAUGGG
rnacentral:rRNA from 1 species